AACGAACGCUGGCGGCAGGCUUAACACAUGCAAGUCGAGCGCCCCGCAAGGGGAGCGGCAGACGGGUGAGUAACGCGUGGGAACGUACCCUUCUCUACGGAAUAACACAGAGAAAUUUGUGCUAAUACCGUAUACGCCCUUUGGGGGAAAGAUUUAUCGGAGAAGGAUCGGCCCGCGUAGGAUUAGCUGGUUGGUGAGGUAAUGGCUCACCAAGGCGACGAUCCUUAGCUGGUCUGAGAGGAUGACUAGCCACACUGGGACUGAGACACGGCCCAGACUCCUACGGGAGGCAGCAGUGGGGAAUAUUGGACAAUGGGCGCAAGCCUGAUCCAGCCAUGCCGCGUGAGUGAUGAAGGCCUUAGGGUUGUAAAGCUCUUUCACCCACGACGAUAAUGACGGUAGUGGGAGAAGAAGCCACGGCUAACUACGUGCCAGCAGCCGCAGUAAUAC
rnacentral:rRNA from 1 species